UACGUAGGUGGCAAGCGUUGUUCGGAAUUACUGGGCGUAAAGCGCGCGUAGGCGGCUCUUCAAGUCAGGCGUGAAAGCCCCGAGCUUAACUCGGGAACUGCGCUUGAUACUGUCGAGCUAGAGUGUGGAAGGGGCGAUUGGAAUCCCGUGUGUAGCGGUGAAAUGCGUAGAUAUACGGAGGAACACCAGGGGCGAAGGCGGAUCGCUGGGCCAACACUGACGCUGAUGCGCGAAAGCUAGGGGAGCAAACGGG
rnacentral:rRNA from 1 species